rnacentral:rRNA from 1 species
UCCCAAACCCCUGUGACAUACCUAUACGUUGCCUCGGCGGAUCAGCCCGCGCCCCGUAAAACGGGACGGCCCGCCCGAGGACCCUAAACUCUGUUUUUAGUGGAACUUCUGAGUAAAACAAACAAAUAAAUCAAAACUUUCAACAACGGAUCUCUUGGUUCUGGCAUCGAUGAAGAACGCAGCAAAAUGCGAUAAGUAAUGUGAAUUGCAGAAUUCAGUGAAUCAUCGAAUCUUUGAACGCACAUUGCGCCCGCCAGUAUUCUGGCGGGCAUGCCUGUUCGAGCGUCAUUUCAACCCUCAAGCUCAGCUUGGUGUUGGGACUCGCGGUAACCCGCGUUCCCCAAAUCGAUUGGCGGUCACGUCGAGCUUCCAUAGCGUAGUAAUCAUACACCUCGUUACUGGUAAUCGUCGCGGCCACGCCGUAAAACCCCAACUUCUGAAUGUUGACCUCGGAUCAGGUAGGAAUACCCGCUGAACUUAAGCAUAUCAAAAA